UUAGAACAGACUGCCCAAGACCGAUAUAAAUGGAAAAAUUUGAUUCGAGCCCCACACCCCAGCAGAGGGUAAUAGGAAAUAAUGAUGAAUGAUGAUGACACUUUGUCUAUGUCUGAAUUUUAGUAAAUUCAUAAAAUAAAAAAUAUUAAUAGGUACAUAAGUUUUUAAGUUUGACUUAAAGUUCUCAAUAGUAUUGCAAUUAUGCAGUUGAAGUAAAGUUUAAAAAUUUAUGUAUUAUAUUAUGGAUUUAUUGCUUGGAAAAAGUUUCAGAGCAUUGACCUUUAUUGUAAUUUAUAACAAUAGUAGUGUUUUGUUCGUUUGAUGUGAACUUAGUUUGAUAGAAAGGCAUACGUCUUGUUAAGAUUAAAAUCAUUGAUUUAGGUGCUCUGUAUUAAAAUUAUCUAUGACGAAAUUAAUUUUGAAACAUCUAAAUCCUCAAAAAAUUGGUAAAAGUGUAUUGAAAUGGUUUUAAAUCUUAUGAUUAGUUGAAUAUCGUAAUAGUGAAAAGUUAAUGAUUGUCGUGUGUGUUAAAUGUAUUUGUUUUACACGAAUGCACGGUUUGCCAUGAAUUUCUUACCAAAUAGAUAAAUCUUUAGCUAAUUAUAGGUAGAUUAAUAUACAAACUUCAUAUUGGUUUUUGCUAUAACAACUUAUUAUAAACAAUGUCGACAUACAUAAGAGCUACAUUCAGAAGCGCAUAUCUGUAUAUUUCAUGUAUACUGAAGUAUUGAAGAGGUACUUAAAGUAUUGUAUAUUCGUAAAAAUCAAGUUCAGUAUAAAAAGGAUUCAUAGUUAAGUUUAAAAAUCUUGAAAUAUUAAGUAAAUAGAAGUACCAAAAUAAGUAAGCACAUAUUUAUUUAAGUGUGAUUAAAGUACAAAAUUA